rnacentral:lncRNA from 1 species
CGCGCUGUGCUCGCGGCCGUCCGGCCCGUCCGGCAGCCCCGGGUCAGCCCGGUGAACUAAGCGGACCCGGGAUGGCCGAGCCGGGGGCCGGCGUUCUGUGCUCCGUUUGCUCACCCUGACCGUGGCACCCGCAUAAGCCGUCUGUGUGUUCCAGAGAGGCCAGCCCUGCAUGUGCUGUCCGUGAGCGUGCUUGGACCUACGCAUAGGACCCAGCUGAGCGGGACAUUUACACGACUGCUGGGGUCGAGGGCAGAACAGGGGGAAACUGUGUUCUGGCGGAGGCACAGCACCCCGGGAGCACCCAGAGCCUGAAGAACACCGGGAUGCCGCAGACAAAGAAGAAGAUGAAGUAGGGGAUGAAGAAGGCUCCUGCAGAAGAGAGAGAGGCAGGGCUGAGCCACACCCGGGCUCUUCCUCAGCCUCCAUCCUUUCAGACCCUCCUCCCCCAACAAACCCGCCCUCCACCAUCCUGUUCUUAAUCUCCCUCCUGACACUUUCCAAGGGCCCACUCCUGCCUGCGUGCAGUCCUGAGUGUUAGGCAGGCACAGGUGGGAAUGUUCUGAUCUGAACCCUACACAGAAUGAGAAAGGCCUUGGAAGGGAAAUUAGUGAAAACUUAGGUGGAAAUUCUAAUAUAUGCACUAUUUAUUUUCUUAGUGUGCUUUACAAAUCUAGUCAAUAGAUUAUUUUUGGAA